UUAUUGCGUUAGUCCCUCGUAAUAAUACCAUUAGCCGUUCGGAGGUGGCGUGGUAUAAACUGUAGUUCCCUCAAUUUGUUCGAACACAUCGGGACGCAAAAAUACAAUUUCGAGGAGCAGCCUCUGCUCUGUAUAUAUAUAUAUACUAUAUAUAUAUAUAUUAUUAUAGUGACGUAGUCUCAUAAUACAUAUCCAGUAAGGGAAGCACGACUUGCCAGAACUUGAAGGUUUCCCAGAGGACUGGUCUUUGUUUAAAGAAAUCUUCGUUGCCACAAAAGCUGAUUGCGAAUAUCACUUGUCCGAUCCCACGUUGAUGGAAGAUUUGUUGGUGAAGCUACCUAUGCAAAAGCGCAUCAAGUGGGCGCAACAUUCGUCAAGGAUUCUUCCGCGACCAACUAAAAGUUAUUUUAACGACUGGUUGCAAGAGUUAUCUAAAAUAAUAGAUUCAGCAACGAGUCGAACGUCUAGAACUACUGGGGAAUAAUAUGUGAACCAAGUGCAAAAAGGCAAACACUCUGGGGCUGUAAAUGGUUUGCCGAAUUGAAUCAUUGUGAAAGAUUGCGUCUGGUUGGAAGGAACAGGCUAUGUUUCAAUUGUUUGCAAGGAAAUCAUAGGAAUGAUGUUUGUCGUGAACAUCACGUAUGUGGAGACAAUGCGUCAAACGUUUCCAUGCACUUUUCAAUGACAGCAAUGAGAGCCAGCGCGUACCAGAGUUUUACAGUACCAUCGAAACUUCUUUUAAUAUAUUGCCUGUAUUGUCAUACACGAAUAAUAAAAUAGUUGAGACCUUUGCAUUCUUAGAUGAAAGAUCCGCCAUAUCGCUUAUAAACUACAAUUUAGCAGCCAAACAAUAAAUGAAGAGGCACAAAGAU